UACGGAGGGUGCGAGCGUUGUCCGGAAUCAUUGGGCGUAAAGGGCGCGUAGGUGGCCCGGUCAGUCUUUGGUGAAAGCGCGGGGCUCAACCCUGCGUCGGCCAGGGAUACUGCCGCGGCUCGAGCACUGUAGAGGCAGGCGGAAUCCCGGGUGUAGCGGUGGAAUGCGUAGAGAUCCGGAAGAACACCGGUGGCGAAGGCGGCCUGCUGGGCAGUUUGGCUGACACUGAGGCGCGACAGCGUGGGGAGCAAACAGG
rnacentral:rRNA from 1 species